rnacentral:rRNA from 1 species
GACGAACGCUGGCGGCGUGCUUAACACAUGCAAGUCGAACGGAAAGGCCCUGCUUUUGUGGGGUGCUCGAGUGGCGAACGGGUGAGUAACACGUGAGUAACCUGCCCUUGACUUUGGGAUAACUUCAGGAAACUGGGGCUAAUACCGGAUAGGAGCUCCUGCUGCAUGGUGGGGGUUGGAAAGUUUCGGCGGUUGGGGAUGGACUCGCGGCUUAUCAGCUUGUUGGUGGGGUAGUGGCUUACCAAGGCUUUGACGGGUAGCCGGCCUGAGAGGGUGACCGGCCACAUUGGGACGGAGAUACGGCCCAGACUCCUACGGGAGGCAGCAGUGGGGAAUAUUGCACAAUGGGCGGAAGCCGGAUGCAGCAACGCCGCGUGCGGGAUGACGGCCUUCGGGUUGUAAACCGCUUUCGCCUGUGACGAAGCGGGAGUGACGGUAAUGGGUAAAGAAACACCGGCGAACUACGG